UGUAAGAUGAACACCCUAACAUGUCAGAGUUAGGGAGUAACACAGAGGAACUGACCUGCUCACGGGGGGAGUUUUCCAGGCUGAAAUUCUGAUGCUCAAGGAAGCGUGAACAUCAGAGAUGCUGCUAGGCCUUUCAACACUUUUGAGAUAGACAAGGAUUUUCUGCUGCAUCUGUUCAAAGCCACCUAACACGGGGUGGCCCUGAAGCAGAGCAGGACUGAAGGUAAAAUCAUCAAAGGACCCAUCAAUUUCAGUUAAGAGGUGAACAAAGCAAGUCCGUGAAUAUUUCUGAAAAACAUGGGUAUAUAUUUCCCAAAGAGACAAUGGAAGAUUAAAAAAGGAGAAAAAAUGAAAAAGAAGAUUCAUGAUUCAAGAAAGAUAAAGAAGAAAAGGAUUAAAUUCCCACUCUGCUAACCAUCACACAAAAUGUUUUAUUGGCUUACUCCUAGCAAAUCUUAUAAUACAUUUUCAUUAUUUAUAGAAGUAAUUCUGUAUUAGUUUGCCAUAAAGAAAUUGGGCUGGACUGUUUUAAAAAUUACAGAAAUUAGAUGAAAUCAAGCUCUUUGAAUUAUCCAUGAGCAUUGGGUUAAUAUAAUCAAUACUUCAGCCAUUACAGGUUGACGUUACAUCUCAAGACAAUUUUCUAACUUAAUAAGAUUAGAAAUAAUAAACUGGUAUUAUUUCUUUGCGAAUUGGGGCCUCUGACCUAGUAAUUUAAUGGCUUCAUUAUUACAGCCAUGGAAUGUAGAAAGACCCAGCACGCUCCCUAUUAUCACAACUGUGCUUUGUCCAAAUUAUGUGACUUUUUAAAAAAAAGCUAAAU